UACAGAGGUCUCGAGCGUUGUUCGGAUUCAUUGGGCGUAAAGGGUGCGUAGGUGGUUAGGUAAGUCUGGUGUGAAAGAUUGGGGCUCAACCCCAAGAGUGCAUUGGAAACUGCUUGACUAGAGGACUGUAGAGGAGAUUGGAAUUCACGGUGUAGCAGUGAAAUGCGUAGAUAUCGUGAGGAAGACCAGAAGCGAAGGCGAAUCUCUGGGCAGGACCUGACACUGAGGCACGAAGGCCAGGGGAGCAAACGGG
rnacentral:rRNA from 1 species